rnacentral:rRNA from 1 species
GAUGAACGCUGGCGGCGUGCUUAACACAUGCAAGUCGAACGGUGAAGCAGGAGCUUGCUCUUGUGGAUCAGUGGCGAACGGGUGAGUAACACGUGAGCAACCUGCCCCUGACUCUGGGAUAAGCGCUGGAAACGGCGGCUAAUACUGGAUAUGUGAUGUGACCGCAUGGUCUGCAUCUGGAAAGAAUUUCGGUUGGGGAUGGGCUCGCGGCCUAUCAGCUUGUUGGUGAGGUAAUGGCUCACCAAGGCGUCGACGGGGAGCCGGCCUGAGAGGGUGACCGGCCACACUGGGACUGAGACACGGCCCAGACUCCUACGGGAGGCAGCAGUGGGGAAUAUUGCACAAUGGGCGGAAGCCUGAUGCAGCAACGCCGCGUGAGGGAUGACGGCCUUCGGGUUGUAAACCUCUUUUAGCAGGGAAGAAGCGAAAGUGACGGUACCUGCAGAAAAAGCACCGGCUAACUACGUGCCAGCAGCCGCAGUAA